AUCUAGCUGACGAGUCCCAAAUGGGACGAAAUAUUCGUCUUGGAU
rfam:Schistosoma haematobium scaffold465_28, whole genome shotgun sequence.